GUCACCGUGUUUUAAAAAACACAAAAAGAAAGCUUUCUUAAGGCUGUCACGCGCAAAUGUAUUGUCAUAUUUAAGGGUUUGCGUGAAACACCAUUUCAAAUUUAAUCUGUUACCUUGCUAAGAUAGAAAGUAUUUCACUCUCAGCCAUAUGCCUAAAAUACAUUUUAAAAACGCAGCCUCAUAGAGAAGAAACAUCUAUUUUCACCUGAAUGUAUUAGAAAAUAUAUUUAGCCCUAUGUGAGGAAUAUAGUUUGUAGUUAACUAUGUAUUUUUCUUACAGAUGACAGUAUCUGUCCUCAUAGGGCAUGAUUCAAUUUACGAGAGACACUUAAAAUGAGAUUACAGAGUCACAAAUGUACAAGGAGUAUCUAGUGUGAGAAAAACUGAGUGAUACUUUUCAUAUUUCACCCUGAGGAGGCAGCCCCACGAUGGGCCAGGACAAGCAUGUGAGAGAACAGCACAUCAGCUGUAACGGCCCAGAGACAUCUCUUCUGCGGAAGUCAGAAAUGAAAUUCCUCCAGAAUAUUGCAGGACAUUUGUUGGUAACAGCCUUAGAACCUCAAGCGUCUCUCAGAAUCUUCUAAGAAUCAUUUGACUCUGGAAGGUACUUUUGGACGGCCAUUGCUACAUGACUUUCCACAUAACAAGUGGGAAGUGAAAAUUGUCAUGCUGUAAUUGUCGAAGGGAGAUACACUGAGGUGGAGGGGAGCAAGAAAACCAGGACUCUCACUCCCUGCCAGCUCCACGUAUAGGACUGUCGUUUCACUCAGUAAUGGCAGGUGAAAAGUUUCCAAUCCCAAACAAGUCCUUUGUUAGAGAAGUUUUAUUUCAUGCAGGUGCAUCUGAAAAAGACCCAGGCUCCGUCUCCCAACCCAAACCUAUACAACUAGAAUAGAAGCUUUGCCUUAGGAAGAGCAGGCUGAGGUCCUGAGCCAUGAUUCUCCUUGCCUCUGCUCCAGCCACAGCCCAUUUACAGAGGGGAGAUUUUACACUAAGGGGGGCAAGCUGACAACACCAAGAACCAUCACCCACUCCAGGGCUUGCUGGUAGACCAUGUGUGGGUGUCACUCUGGGAGAACCCAGCUGCUAUUCCUAACCUCAGUCCAGUGAAAUGGUGCAGAAAUUCUGCCUUAUGUGGGAGGAAGUCCAUAAGGACAAGAAACUUCACAGCAAUAUUAACGAAGAUUGAUUUCAUAUGGACUAUAGCUUGAAGAAUUCUAUGUCUAAGAGCAUUGUUGUAAAGAAUGGAGACACUGAUGGAGAGCAAAUAAAAGCAGAGCAUCUAGAAGUUUAACAGAGACAACUACAGGAAAAGACAUCCAGUGAGAAUCUUCCUGAGAUUACACUCGACCUUGAGUUUGGGAAUCCUGUGUUUGCACUAGAGUGAACCUAUUCUGGAGCAAUCCGAGGAGCACAAAGGCCAGCUUGAAAGUGUUACCCAUGCUGCACAUACAUCCAUCAACAAAAGAUACAACCUUACUGGCACAAGAAAUUUAAGCAAAACCUUUGGCCAAAUACUGGCUGAAUGAUAAUCUACAGUUAUCCAUGGAUACCUUUUUUUUAGGAAACCAGUCUUAAAAAUAAAAUCACAAACUUCCCUGAGUAUCUAGAAGACCAUAUGCAUGGCUAAAAGUAUACUUUCUCAGAAGCAAUCAGAGAGAAAUUCCAAGCUGCAAGGCUGAAUGUCAGAAAACAUAAACAUUCUGAAUUAUGAUAGCAAUCUAUCAUUCACACAUAUACAUCCAAAUAAAAAAAAGGGGGGGAUAUAACAACCCUACCUUAAGGUGGAAACAAUUCUACCUUAAGCCUUUUGGCCAAUAAGCCUUUGAUUUACAUUUUCCCUUUUAUAAAACACUUUUUUAAAUAAAGUUUAUUCAUUUAUUUUGAGAGAGAGAGCAGGGGAGAGGCAGAGAGAGAGAGGGAGAGAGAAAGAAUCCCAAGCCCUCAACAAUGGACAUGAUCUUGUUUCCCUGAAAUCAUGAUCUGAGCUGAAAUCAAGAGUUGGAGGCUUAACCGACUGAGCCACCCAGGCACCGCUAAAUAAAAAUUUUUACUACAUCGCCAUGUAUAUGAAACUUACUUUCAUCUUUUCUAACACAUGGAAAUCCAAAGCUCCAUCCAGUUGGCACAAGCAACUUCAGAAGCAAUAUCUCUGGGUCACAUUCUGUCCUCUUUGUUAUGCUUAUAAUAUUAGUUACCAGACAGAUUUAUUGCUAAUAAAUUCAUUGAUGUUAAUAACAUUUUAUUUAUUCCUAAUUAAUUUAAUAAUAAAUAUAUAGCUUUACAUUA